rnacentral:rRNA from 1 species
UACGUAGGGGGCAAGCGUUGUCCGGAUUUAUUGGGGGUAAAGAGCGUGUAGGCGGCCUGACAGGUCUGCUGUGAAAGCCCGGGGCUUAACUCCGGGUCUGCAUUCGAUACGGGCAGGCUAGAGUUCGGUAGGGGAGAUCGGAAUUCCUGGUGUAGCGGUGAAAUGCGCAGAUAUCAGGAGGAACACCGGUGGCGAAGGCGGAUCUCUGGGCCGAUACUGACGCUGAGGAGCGAAAGCGUGGGGAGCGAACAGG